rnacentral:rRNA from 1 species
AGAGUGAACGCUGGCGGUAGGCCUAACACAUGCAAGUCGAACGGCAGCACAGUGGUAGCAAUACCAUGGGUGGCGAGUGGCGGACGGGUGAGGAAUACAUCGGAAUCUACCUUUUCGUGGGGGAUAACGUAGGGAAACUUACGCUAAUACCGCAUACGCCCUUCGGGGGAAAGCCGGGGAUCGCAAGACCUGGCGCGGAUAGAUGAGCCGAUGUCGGAUUAGCUAGUUGGUGAGGUAAUGGCUCACCAAGGCGACGAUCCGUAGCUGGUCUGAGAGGAUGAUACGAGCCACACGUAGGAACUGAGACACGGUCCAGUCUACCGUACGGGA